AUUGAACGCUGGCGGCAUGCCUUACACAUGCAAGUCGAACGGCAGCACGGGUGCUUGCACCUGGUGGCGAGUGGCGAACGGGUGAGUAAUACAUCGGAACGUACCUUAUCGUGGGGGAUAACGCAGCGAAAGCUGCGCUAAUACCGCAUACGCCCUGAGGGGGAAAGCGGGGGAUCGAAAGACCUCGCGCGAUUAGAGCGGCCGAUGCCUGAUUAGCUUGUUGGUGGGGUAAAAGCCCACCAAGGCGACGAUCAGUAGCUGGUCUGAGAGGACGAUCAGCCACACUUGGACUGAGACACGGCCCAGACUCCUACGGGAGGCAGCAGUGGGGAAUUUUGGACAAUGGGGGCAACCCUGAUCCAGCAAUGCCGCGUGAGUGAAGAAGGCCUUCGGGUUGUAAAGCUCUUUUGUCAGGGAAGAAACACCGGCUCUAACACAGUCCGGGAAUGACGGUACCUGAAGAAUAAGCACCGGCUAACUACGUGCCAGCCGCCGCAGUAA
rnacentral:rRNA from 1 species